CUCCUGACCUGGUGAUCCACCUGCCUCGGCCUCCCAAAGUGCUGGGAUUACAGGUGCGAGCCACCACGUCCGGCCCUUUAGGCACUUUCUACUUCUCAAGGUCAAGAAAUAUCCUUUUAAAAAGUUAAUUCCCUUUUCUGGAGCCUAAGCCAGAUCUUAUCUAGGCCUUGUGUUGCCAUCUGUUGGCAUUGAUUUCUGGAAUGGAGCAGCUUUCUCAAAGUUUGGUCUUGCUAGUCAUGAGGUCAUGUCAGUGUCUUAGGUCACUGCUGCUCACCUUCCUUACCCAGGGAGCAUACUGCAUAGGUUUCUGAACACCUGUUUUCAUUAUCCACUGUCCUCUCAUUGCCAAGAAUGGAGGGACCCUCAGUUGAAAAUCAAAUUGACUCUGAAGAAAAACUGGAGAGAGAUGUUUCUCUUGGAGUUUGGAUAGAGUAUUCACUUGAUAACGUUUUUGCCCUGCCUUGCUCUUCACAAGAACAUCUGGCCAGGCAUUAACAAUUAGUAAAUUUUUUUGCAUAUGAACAGUAUUUUUUUUCUGGUGAUGUAGAUGGGUGCACAGGACACUAAACAAUGCUGUUUAGUGUCAUUAUAUCCCUCUUAACUGGUGGGAUGUAUUUGGGGUGGAGGCUAUAGCCAAUGAGAAGAGGUUCACCUCUGUACCCGAGAAACUUUGUGUAGGAAUUUAUUUUUUUACUAUUAGCACAAUGCUAUAAUUGAGCUAAUCUUUGUAGUUUGGUGCAGGACCACCAAAUUUGUGUGACCCAUUACCUACUUUUUCCAUGCUCAGUCAUUACCGUGUCCUGGGGCAUCUGAGGGCAGUAAGGAACAGGUGUCCAAAGGAGGAAUGUUGGUGCCUAUGUUUUCCAGUUGUAUCGAAUUUCUUACUUGGUGUAUUUUUGACUUGUCUUAGUUUCUUUCCUUGUGGUCUAUGCUAUUUUACUUGGGAUUUGUUGGAUAUUCUCCCCUGUCAUUAAAGAGUUGUAAAAUGGAAGUUAGUAUUUCUAUGCAAAUGCUUUAAUGGAUGAAGCUGAUAGGUUUAGCAUUGAUUUUUGCCGGUGUCCUUCAACAAGCAUGAAGGUGAUAAAUGUGUUUCCAUGGCUUUAGACUCAUUUUUGAAGUCUUGGAUUGUGUGAACAUUCUUAGAAACAAUAAAAUGUUUUAAUUAAAAGCCCUUGACUACCAGUUGAACUCAGUGUCUACUAGGAAAAUGGGUAGAUUUGUUACAUUGUCCCUUUGCUCUCUAUGACUUUGUUCCAGUUGUCAAGGAACUUAAAUGGGUAUUCAGGAAAAAGAAUUCUUGUUUCCCUUUCCUCACCUUGCCAGUUAAAUAACUCCUGGUGAUACUUCAGGUGGUAGAAUUGAAACACAAACCUGACUUCUGACCACAUGGGUCAAAGGAAAAGGCAAAUGGCUUCAAAGCCCUUAGUGUGCUGGACAGUUCAGGCGGUGAGGAGGUAACUUCUGCUUUCCUCCCUGAGGAGUUUGGAGUAUUUAAGGGGGGAUGGUGGGGGGGUGUCACUUUGAAAAUGUUGCUUUUUCUCCUGAUUGUAUUGAGGCUGAUAUGGAAGGGUUAUUUCUUUCUGGCCAAUACUUUUUGGUAUUUCUAAAUAUUGCAAUCUUGAUUUUUACUAUUAAAUUUGUUAAUUGUCAGUUCUGGUUUUUUUGCAUAAAGAGUUGGUCCAUUAACUUGCCAAUUUGAAGCUUCUAACUAGAUAUUCCCUACUGAAAGUUUUGGAUUUGUUUUUAGUUUGUGGAGCAGUCUUAGCUGGGGACAGGUAAUUGACAACGGCAGAGAUACUUUCUUUUCCUAGGAUUCUAAGUCUGUAAUCCAUAUCCUCCAUGUAUUCACAGGACUUUAAAAUUCUCUCCAAACGAGGAAGGAAAUAUCCUGUUGCUUUCUAAUGUUUACUAAAAGUUGUGUUUAGAACAACAGAUUUUAAUAGGCAUCUUCCUUUGUUACUUGUCAUUAGCCCUUUGCCCAUUUACCUUAGGGCUCUUUGAAGGAGAAAUGGAUGGGAGAAAACCUGUCACUUGGUGAAAGUAAAGGGAAUAAUUAACUGGCUCAGAGCUUAUGUGCAGAGUUCCCAGCCCCAAAGUUAAUCUAGAACCACUCGAUAACACCAAUAAAAAUAUUUAUUUCCCAUCUGUUAUAUUUCUGGAAAAUGUUCUAAGCAUCUUACAUAUAUUUCUCAUUAAAUCCACAGGUGGCCAUUGUGAGGUAGAUAUUUUGUUCUAAUUUUCCAGAUGAGGAAGCUGAGACCCUAAAAGUUUAGGUGACAGGUUAUAUAACUUGGAGUGUGGGAGGAGAGAGGAACCUGAACAGGGCCAGUUGGGGAUCUGACUUUUGUUUGGGUAGAUGUAGGCACAUUGUAUUUUUGGCUUAGGUGCUUUAUUCAUCAUGGGUGAAGGUAAUACCAUUUACUCACUCACCGAAAAUUGUUUACAAUAAUCAAGAUGAAUUUACUGUCUUUGGACAUCUGUCUUUUGACUGGACCCCAGUAUAUAGUCUGUGGAAGCUCACUUAAGGAGAGAGCUCCUUUUUUGUUUGGUUAGAGAAAUUGUCUGUCCUAAAAGUAGAAAUAGCCCCUUCUAGGUAGGGAUGGAGCAUUUGAUCAUACUGGUUUCGUUAUAUUCCUCUAACAGUUGGAACCGAUUGUUUUUGAGUACUUGUUUCAAACUUCUGAAUAUUUUCCUUCUGGAAAAUAGCUCAGUGUUUAAAAUUUAUAUGAACUUAAAAGGUUAAUUUUUUUUUAAAGAAUGUUUGAGGAGCAAUCAACAAUUCUGAUUUUGUCUUAUAGAUAGAAAUAGAAUUAGCCAUUUUCCUCAAGAAAAGUGAUUCUUCUGAAUCUUAGCUCUUCAGUAAUGAGAACUGGACUGUUUUCACUUGACCUCUAUUUCCUGUUAGUGGGAAACCCCUCCCCAGAGGUGCUGUGUGAAAGAUUGCUGGGGAAAGGGUUUCUAGAUCCCAGCGUAACAAGUUCAAAAGAGUCUAGCGAGAUUGUCAUUAGAAUAAUGGUCUUCAUUAAGUACUAGUUUUCAUAAUCCUGAAGCUUCAUUUUCACCAAUUUGAAAGGCAGUAGCUAGGGAGAAGAAGGCUAUGCAGGGAAGGAGGAAAACUCAGGAGUGCAUCACAGAGACCUUGAGUGAGUUAAGGCAGGGAAGAAGCAGAUUUGCUAUCCACUGAAUGAAAAUAAAAAGAAUUCCAUUGUCCAAGGCCAGAGCAAGAACACAAAGGUUUUAGUUUACUUAGUUAAUUCCUUAGGUUUGGACAUUACAGGAGACAUGGGGGUCACCCAUAGCAGUUUAGCUGAUAAAUGUAUCAGAAACUCUUUCAUCAUUUUCUGUCCCCUCCUAUCUUAGGCUGACCGGUUCCCUGAUGUGUUACCUGCUUCUACUGAUCCAAACUGCAGAACUUCUCAUUCAUCCCCAAGGCCUCCAGGCAGUAUCCAAUGGGGAAUCAGCUCUAAAAGGAACCAGACCAACGUUUUCCAGCCCCUUCAUUCUGUAGCUACCCUCUGUGUGAGGAAAGGAUAGAAAUGUUCAGGACAUCAUCAUACAGGCUCCUCAUCUACAAAGUUCCAGUAGCAGUGACGCCUACACGGAAGACUUGGAACUGCAAACAGAGGCUGGGGUCACCUCAGUGACAUCUGACGCUGUCCAACCAGAAGUUCGAUUUUUGUUCUGGGGGUGAAGGAGGAAACAGACUGUACUAAAGGACUAAAAUAAUUUCUUGUCUAUACUA